UCCUCCAUCCGUCCUCAUGAGCCGCCGCCGCCAUUCCGCCUCCCUCCUCUCUGUCCGACGACCACGCCACCCGGAGGAAGCCGCCGCCCAAGAAGGUCCGGGGACGCCCGUUGGCGGGAGGACUACGCCGCCGCUGGGAGAAAAGAGGAAGAGGAGGUGGCACGGGGGAGACCAGCGGCGGCUACGCCUCUCCCAUCCUCGAGCCCCUAGGCACUCAUCUUUCCCUCCACCUCGUCCCGUCUCCCAUCCUCCUCAACCCUCCGCCUCAUGGCCUCAGCGGUGGCGCCGCCACGUUCUCGAUCCGGCUGGAUCGGUCGUAGGUUGCCCCCAUCAGGUGUCAUGCGCUGUGAUUCCGGAUCGGCCGUACAUCGCGUCCAAGAGAGCUGGAGUGGUUGAGGGCAUCAGGGGAACCCAUCCUGCUCGACCCCCCACUCCUGGCGGCUAUCUGUAGAGAGGAGAGCUCGAGGAUUGCUCCCAGUUCAUCGAGGAGACGCCCGACACAUAGGGUUAGCGAGGAGGAGGCUUCCUUCUAUGAUGAUGCGCAGAGGAGAAAUCACAAGGAUAUGUGCUGCUAGAUCUGACAUGGAGGUGCUAUUCAAUCCAUCAGUUGCUCGCGGCCUGCUGUGAUUAAGGAGGCCAUGUUAUUUUGGUGUGCAAGAGAGAUCUUGCAGGCUGGCAGGUACGCCUCCAACUUUAUUGGUUCAAUAUAUGUUUGCUAUAUUGACUAUCUCUAAGUGAUUGUUGUUAUAUGCGUUUCCCGUCCGCAUGGUAGUUUUUUCCAUUUGAUCUAUCUCUAGGUGGUUGAUGUUACAUGUGUUUCUACUGUGCUAAAUUUCAGUCUUAUUACAGUAGCACAUAGGAUUUCUGUAUUAUUUGCAUUUACUCCUGCUAAGAACAUGUGCUUAAUUUUUGUCUUAUUUGCCCCAAUUUACUGCUGAUAAGAACAUGUACAAAAAAUCUUCUUUUACUGUUUCUUCUUGAUGUUGAGAACAGAUGCUUUGAACAUGAGCAUGUGGGCAAUUAGUAGUCUGAAGAAGAGACAAAGAAAACAAUCUCAACAUGGUGGUUGUGCUAGGUGAGUUCCUCUUUGAUGACAUGUUGCCGUGUUGUAAAGUUAUCAUUGUUGAACUAUGUGUCCCUGGUGCCGAGCUCCCCCAAAUCAACAUUUUGAAGCUUUUUGUGUAUGGGAAAAAGUGGAAAAAGAAUUUUACCUUAGUGAUAAUCUCUCUACUGAAAUUCUUGAUGCGUGGAUACAGGUAUAUGAGCAAGAAUUCUGAGAAUUAUAUUUUCCAAUGUAAACAUUUACCAAGAAAAAAAUCCCUUAAAUAUUCUGCGAUAAGCAAUGUUGACGACAGUGAAUAUCUAAUCAUGCCUGAGUGUUUUGCCUUGCGAUGUUCAGCUUGUUCUUAUUUCUUAAAUUUUUUGUUAGCUUACUUUGUUAAGCUCCUUUUAUGGCUGGUGGGAGGAUCAUUCAGCUGACCAAGUACAGUAUGAUGGUAAUAUCAAAUCUGAGAUUAUUAAAGCAUCUUUUGUGUAGGUAUCGUAAACAAACUUAGCGCUGUAGUAUCUUUCAGAAUCAUUGUUAGGUUAAUGAUGAUGCAAGUUUCCCUUUGACAUAUUUCUCAAGCAUUGGCAAUGCUGAGGUAACGGAGAGUGUCAGCAACUACAAUUAAUUCAUUUAUCAUUGAAUUGCGAUAACAAGAGGGUAAAAUGGCAUGCAUGAUCACUCUUUUAGAAUGUAAAAAGUCUUAACUGGAAUUUAAGAAAGUUGACACCGCAUUUCUGGUUCAUUCAAUGAAAUUUUCUGCUCUUCAGUUUAACUUUCUAUGCCUGUUUGUGAUAGUGAAGGUCGAUAUUUAAUUUUCCUCUAUCUAUGUGGAGGUCUCAAGAAAGAGAAAAGAACUUGUGGUUCAAGCAGCAAGAA